GGUAGUCUUGCCAAAAUUAUCAUCGACGUUAUUAGUAAAGGAACGAGAAUUCUCUUUAUGCUUGGUAAAGCUCUUGAUUGAGCUUGGCUUCCCAGAAAACUCAUAAUUUUUCUCUGCAACUUUAGCUUGCUUUGCUUUUGUCCCUCCAGAACAAACCCCUCCCAUCGUUGCUGGAAAAUGGAAAUACCUUCAAAUUCAAAUAAUUUCCUAAUGAAAAAAAAAAAUCCCAACUCUGUUUGGGUCCAAUCCAAUAGUAAAAAAAGGAAUGAUAAUCAAGUUUUUCAACAACAGCAUUAGCAUACCUGAUUAGAGAGAAAGAAAGGAAAUGGGAUUAAGAAGAAGAGAUUGAAGUUCAACGGAAAGGAAAAGGUCAGAGUAGUUACAGUGUGAAGCAAAUUAGAAGAAGAAGAAGAAGAACUCAUUAUCAGGUUGAUUUGAUCGAGACUUGUGCCACAUCCAAUCAUACUUAUUUUUCUCAACCUACCCCAAUUCACCCCAAGCUUGGCCAAAUUGUUAUAGAUUCCUAUUUCCUAAACCAUGAUUAAUCCAGUCUGAGUUACCAUUAAGAUUAACCUGAAUUUUUCAAGUUGAACAAACUAGGCGUCAAGCCUAGCUCGACUCAGUCAACAGUUAUCUUACAAAAUAAGAAAGCAUAGCAAGCACACAAACCUUAACCCGUUUCAAC
rnacentral:misc_RNA from 1 species